UCGGGGGAUUGAAUCAAGGGUGUAGAGGUUGGUUGGUGAGCCGAGUGUAAAACCAACGUGUAAGGGUUCGAUUGUGAUCCCGGGAAAACAAUCGGGGUUGGUUCUAGUCGGUGAGCCUGGAAAAACCGACCGAGUUCGUUGUGAGCUCGUAAAACAACAAGUUUGGUUGUGAGCUUGGAAAACAACCGGCUGUAAUCCAAGGGGUUAUAGUGAAUUCCCAAGUAAGACUUGGGGAGUGGACGUAGGAGCAAGGGUUAGCUCCGAACCACUAUAA
rnacentral:lncRNA from 1 species